UACGGAGGAUGCGAGCGCUAUCCGGAUUUAUUGGGUUUAAAGGGUGCGUAGGCGGGUUAUCAAGUCAGCGGUAAAAUCGUGGAGCUCAACUCCAUCCAGCCGUUGAAACUGAUGAUCUUGAGUGGGCGAGAAGUAUGCGGAAUGCGUGGUGUAGCGGUGAAAUGCAUAGAUAUCACGCAGAACUCCGAUUGCGAAGGCAGCAUACCGGCGCCCGACUGACGCUGAAGCACGAAAGCGUGGGUAUCGAACAGG
rnacentral:rRNA from 1 species